rnacentral:rRNA from 1 species
UACAGAGGGGGCAAGCGUUAUUCGGAAUUAUUGGGCGUAAAGGGCGCGUAGGCGGCUUGGCAAGUGGAAGGUGAAAUCCCUCGGCUCAACUGAGGAACUGCCUUCCAGACUGCUUUUGCUUGAGUCCGGGAGAGGUGAGUGGAAAUUCCCAGUGUAGCGGUGAAAAUGCGUAGAUAUUGGGAGGAACACCAGUGGCGAAGGCGGCUCACUGGACCGGAACUGACGCUGAGGCGCGAAAGCGUGGGGAGCAAACGGG